UGUGAAGAGUAUUUGAGCCCAAGGUCGUGUAGUAAGCCCCAGCAUUCAGCGAGGACCUUACUAGUCCAUUCAGCACCCUCAACAAUGCCAAAGCAUUCUCCAAGCCCUGUGUUAAAUAGAGCUUCUCUCAGGGAAAGGUUUCAUUCUGAUUGGUGUUCACCUUCAAACUGCGAUGAGAUCCAUGACCGGGUAAAAAAUGUCUUGAAAUCACAUCAGGCUCAUCAAAGACAUUUAUAUGUUAGUUUCUAAAAUUUUCUUUUGAAGACUAUUUAUAAUAGGUCAAGAAAACCACCAAAGAUGCCUAAAGCUUACAAAAUUUAGUCACCGGGAAGAAAAAAAGAAAGCAAGCAAGCUCCAUUUGAUGGAAGUCAGUGGUUUUGCCCAAGGCAACGUAUCUAAAUUCCUGCUUGACCUAAGUCAUUAUGCAAAAUGUUUGAAAUAGACCAUCUUAACUAUAAACAA
rnacentral:sRNA from 1 species